ensembl:snoRNA
AUCCUUUCUGGUUCAUAGAUGGAAUGACCAGGUAGUUCAGUCCCUUGUGUGACAUGUGAUUCACUAAACUUUGACAUGGCUUCAACACAUUACCUGCCUGAUA